CGUGGAAGGCGGAGGCCGGGGACAUUUUAUUAACUCACAGGCCGCGUGGGCCCCCGCCCAAGACUCAGUGUCCUUGCAAGAAGAGCGCCAGAGCACAUGCUGCCCCACACGCUCCGAAUCCCAACAGAAAUCAAAGAAGAGGCCAUGUGAGUGGACAGAAGGUAGCCCUGGACAAGCCAGGAAGAGAGAACUUUCACCAGAAACCAGACCCUGUGGGAACGCGAUCUCAGACGUGGGGCGUCCAGAAGGCGAGAAAUAAAUUUCCGCUGAGUAAAGGCA